CCUACGGGUGGCUGCAGUGGGGAAUAUUGGACAAUGGGGGCAACCCUGAUCCAGCCAUGCCGCGUGUGUGAAGAAGGCCCUCGGGUUGUAAAGCACUUUCAGUGAGGAAGAACGCCUGGUGGUUAAUACCCAUCAGGAAAGACAUCACUCACAGAAGAAGCACCGGCUAACUCCGUGCCAGCAGCCGCGGUAAUACGGAGGGUGCGAGCGUUAAUCGGAAUUACUGGGCGUAAAGCGCGCGUAGGUGGCUUGAUAAGCCGGUUGUGAAAGCCCCGGGCUCAACCUGGGAACGGCAUCCGGAACUGUCAAGCUAGAGUGCAGGAGAGGAAGGUAGAAUUCCCGGUGUAGCGGGGAAAUGCGUAGAGAUCGGGAGGAAUACCAGUGGCGAAGGCGGCCUUCUGGACUGACACUGACACUGAGGUGCGAAAGCGUGGGUAGCAAACAGGAUUAGAUACCCCAGUAGUC
rnacentral:rRNA from 1 species